rnacentral:rRNA from 1 species
GACGAACGCUGGCGGCGUGCUUAACACAUGCAAGUGGAGCGACGAACCAGGGCUUGCCCUGGGGCAGAGCCGCGAACGGGUGAGUAACACGUGGGUUACCUGCCCCGAUGACCGGGACAACCCGAGGAAACUCGGGCUAAUACCGGAUGUGGUCUACGGACGAAAGGAAGCUUCGGCCUCCGCAUCGGGAUGGGCCCGCGGCGCAUUAGCUUGUUGGUGGGGUAACGGCCUACCAAGGCGACGAUGCGUAGCUGGUCUGAGAGGACGAUCAGCCACACUGGGACUGAGACACGGCCCAGACUCCUACGGGAGGCAGCAGUGGGGAAUCUUGCGCAAUGCGCGAAAGCGUGACGCAGCAACGCCGCGUGAGGGAAGACGGCCUUCGGGUUGUAAACCGUCCUU